GGAGUUGUGGCUCAGCGGUAGAGUACUCGCCUUGCAUGCGUGAGACCCUAGGUUCAAUCCUCAGCAUUG
rnacentral:tRNA from 1 species